AUGGGCACUGCAACCCUCCCUGGGCACUGCCACCCCCCGAGCUCCCUUCCCAUGGGGAAAUUCCUGCUGCUUCCCCCUGAGCCUGCCCUGCCCAGCCUGAGGCCGUUCCCUCUCCUCCUGUCCCUGUCCCUGUUCCCAGAGCCCAAAUCCCCCCCGGCUGUCCCCUCCUGGCAGGGAGUUGUGCAGAGCCACAGGGGCCCUGAGCCUCCUUUUCUCCAGCUGAGCCCCUGCCCAGCUCCUCAGGAAUUCUCCAGUCCCUUCCCAGCUCCUCAGGGAUUCUCCAGCCCCUUCCCAGCUCCUCAGGGAUUCUCCAGCCACUUCCCAGCUCCUCAGGAAUUCUCCAGCCCCUUCCCAGCUCCUCAGGGAUUCUCCAGCCACUUCCCAGCUCCUCAGGAAUUCUCCAGCCCCUUCCCAGCUCCUCA
rnacentral:lncRNA from 1 species